rnacentral:rRNA from 1 species
AGAGUUUGAUCCUGGCUCAGGACGAACGCUGGCGGCGUGCCUAAUACAUGCAAGUCGAGCGAACUUUUGGGAGCUUGCUCCCAAAAGUUAGCGGCGGACGGGUGAGUAACACGUGGGCAACCUGCCUGUAAGACGGGGAUAACUUCGGGAAACCGGAGCUAAUACCGGAUGACUCUUUUCCUCGCAUGAGGAAAAGCUGAAAGAUGGUUUCGGCUAUCACUUACAGAUGGGCCCGCGGCGCAUUAGCUAGUUGGUGAGGUAACGGCUCACCAAGGCCACGAUGCGUAGCCGACCUGAGAGGGUGAUCGGCCACACUGGGACUGAGACACGGCCCAGACUCCUACGGGAGGCAGCAGUAGGGAAUCUUCCGCAAUGGACGAAAGUCUGACGGAGCAACGCCGCGUGAGUGAUGAAGGUUUUCGGAUCGUAAAACUCUGUUGUUAGGGAAGAACAAGUAUCGGAGUAACUGCCGGUACCUUGACGGUACCUAACCAGAAAGCCACGGCUAACUACGUGCCAGCAGCCGCGGUAAUACGUAGGUGGCAAGCGUUGUCCGGAAUUAUUGGGCGUAAAGCGCGCGCAGGUGGUUCCUUAAGUCUGAUGUGAAAGCCCCCGGCUCAACCGGGGAGGGUCAUUGGAAACUGGGGAACUUGAGUGCAGAAGAGGAAAGUGGAAUUCCACGUGUAGCGGUGAAAUGCGUAGAGAUGUGGAGGAACACCAGUGGCGAAGGCGACUUUCUGGUCUGCAACUGACACUGAGGCGCGAAAGCGUGGGGAGCGAACAGGAUUAGAUACCCUGGUAGUCCACGCCGUAAACGAUGAGUGCUAAGUGUUAGGGGGUUUCCGCCCCUUAGUGCUGCAGCAAACGCAUUAAGCACUCCGCCUGGGGAGUACGGCCGCAAGGCUGAAACUCAAAGGAAUUGACGGGGGCCCGCACAAGCGG